CAAUAGCGUAUAUUUAAGUUGUUGCAGUUAAAAAGCUCGUAGUUGGAUUUCGGGUGGGACGCAGCGGUCUCGCAUUGCGUUUGUACUGCUGCAGCCCUCCUUCUUGCCGGGGGCGGCCUCUCGGACUUCACUGUCUGGGGGUCAGAAUCGGCGAUGUUACUUUGAGUAAAUUAGAGUGUUCAGAGCAAGCUUACGCUCUGAAUAUAAUAGCAUGGGAUAACACGACAGGACUCUGGCCUAUCGUGUUGGUCUAUAGGACCAGAGUAAUGAUUAAGAGGGACAGUCGGGGGCAUUCGUAUUCCGUUGUCAGAGGUGAAAUUCUUGGAUUUACGGAAGACGAACAUCUGCGAAAGCAUUUGCCAAGGAUGUUUUCAUUGA
rnacentral:rRNA from 1 species